GAGAACUUGACACGUAACCAUGGCGACCGUAGUCGGCGUUGCGAUGUGUUACACGCAGGCCCGAUCCUGCGCCGCGCGGUUCCUCUCCGCGAGCGUGCGAACUUCCGGCGCAAGCCGGUAUACAGGGAUGACACCUCUGAGUGGCUGAACCGCCACUCCCUUGAAAUAUAAUUAGGCCACGUUGCCCCGCGCGGAAUUCACUCGGGGUAGACGGUCCCUCGAAAUAUUCAACCUGGCCGAGCGAGCGGCCGCAGUCUCCCGAUGAAUGGGACUUUGAUGAUGCGGGCUUAUAAAAUUUAUCUUAACGUCUAAAUUAACCUUCGCCGCAAUGCCGACGUAAUCUGUCGCAAUGUAACAUAGUCUGCGUGCUUACCUAUAUUCUGUGCUGUUUCAUUAAUAUCUCGUUUGUGCGAUCUGUUCUAUAAACAGAUAGCAUCAUCGUCUCAAUUAAAAUAACGCUUCGGUGCAAAUUUCUUUUACAGAGCGAGUAUUAAGUUGGUGAACUUUGAGAAUUUUUAUCAUCCAAUUAGAAAUCGAUUUCCCCUUAAUGGCCUUUAUUGAGAAACUUUGUUCCUCGUUUAAUGGAACGAGAAACUAAAUGUAUUUCGAUCUAUUUGCAAAGUUUUACUGGCUCGUAUAUGAUGUUAUCGAUACGUUUUACUUUAGGUUGCUGCGUGCGUCUCCGCGCGGUCGCAUCGCCGAUAAGGAAAAGUACAGCCGAGUGGGUCGAGUGUGCCACUCCCGUGAAAUACAAUUAGGCCACCUAGUGAUAUACAAGCUAUUUUCUCCGAUGCCAUUUACUUUGUACAUACAUCUACAUUUUGCGAGUAACGCGCUUGAACUUGCUAAUUUGUCGCCCGACAGAGAGAUCGUAGAGAAUGAGAUUCGUGUCGCGACAUCGGGUACAAUUUUUAAUGUGUUUCUAACAAGAUUUUCAUUUCGGGAUAAAAUAGCUCCGCGAAAGCACGUUGUGACACGUGCGAAAUGGCUUUGCGUAUAUUUGACACGCCGCGCCCUUUCGAUGUAAUUAGGUCAAGCUUUUACGGUGAAAUUGUAAUAACGUGUACACGCAUUUCUGAGGGAAAUCGCUUUAAAAGAAAUACAAGGUUACAUAUUAAUUUUUUCUUUCAUCGUCAAAACUUUAAGACAUAUUGUGAGAAUUGCUUAAAUGUAAGCGCAAAUAUAAGCUUCUAACAUCUUUAUUGUGCAAACAAAAGAGGAACUCAAUAAUCGUACAAUAAAGCGAUUUUACACACUACACUAAAUUAAGAUGUUAAAACGUGCUAAAAUUUUGUUUCCACAAUAAUUUGCAUAAAAAAGUAAUACAUCAGUGCCGUUUUAAUAUUGCCGUAUAUCUGCUCACUUCUUUGAUCUUCUGAGAAAACACCUAAAAAUCUUUGUAGCAGUUUGUCCCCGUCUUGACGUAACACGUUAAUUUCCAAGCGAAAGAAAUACCGGCGACAUUUUAUGACGAGAUAAAUCGCAUAAAGAGGACCUAUAAGCCUUCGUAGGUGAAACAUGUUUCAUCAGGAGUAGGUAACUGGAUAAACACAAGGAUGUCCUUGGCGGGAGAUCGCAGAUGGAAUAUAUCGUCGGUUGCCUCUGUCUGUAAGUCCAGAUUCCGUCUGGAUUGCGAAAACUGUACGAUUACUAAAUCCCACCGCGUAAAAAUGCGACUAGCGUGGCUCCGGCUAUAAAAAAGGCAGAUAGAGGCCUCUUCGAUUAAAUUUACAUUCAUGAAUAGUGAAUUAAUGGAGAUACGAUAUAAUUCGUAGUAUUUUUAGAUUUCGCUAAAAGCAAUAUGCUGCGGGUAAAAUUGCAGUGCUGGUGAACGCUACUAAAAUAUUGCAGUUUACAGAUUAAAACGAUUUAACAUUGCAAUUUACGUGUGUCAUGCGAGUAAUGUUGCGUGGGUCAUUAUUAUAGAAUGGUAAUAAGCGUCGGACCAUCGAACUUUAAUUGGUUUAAUCGCUUAAAAUAUGUUUCUACCAACUAAAACGCUAAUUAAUGCGCGCAAUGAAUUUGAUCGGAAAUGAUGCGUUUUGUCAGAACAGAAAAAUCGACGGAAUCAACCAUGCACGGUAGAGCCAAUGAUUAAAUAUAAUUACGAAGGGAUUUUCGAUCAUUUUUCAUAAUAAUCUAAACAAAUUUAUCUUCAAAUUUAUUGGAACAUACGUGACUUGCUAUAAGACUCACAUAUUAAGCUUAAUAAAUCGAGUAAAGAGAUGGAUUUCUGCAAUAUUAAUACUUCGUCCAUAUUUUAUUUAUAUAUAUAAUUUAAAUUUAAAUUUAAUUUAAAGGUGUAUAUUUGACUCGCAAUUAAAAUCACUUUCUGGUAAAAAGAUACCGACUUAAUUUUAAUACCACUACUUUACAAUUUCAUUAUCAAUUGAUAUUUGCGAUGUUUUACAGAAAACUUUUCUCUUGUACGUGUCCCAAAUUAAAAAUAUCAAAACACCAGACUAAAAAUAUUUACUGCGAUUAAGCAUGCACAUUAAGUCUGACACAUUACUAAUCUCCGUUAGAUUAAUUACGAUUGAUAACGACAAUUUGAUCGAAGAUUAAAAUAAAACGAUAUAGAAAGAAGCAAAUUCCAUUGAUAACACGAGACCUUUGCACCAAUGUUAUGCGGAAUAUCCCACGGAAAUAUCGGCGGGUUCCACGGAACGAGAUAAUUAUUCGUAAUAAACAGGACUUAAACGGUACGUUUAGCUUGGAAUGUAAAGAUUAGUAUGCCCUCGCUGAGAAAUUACGUUAGGAAAGGGGGAUCAACGAGAGUAUCCGAAGGAUUGGCUAAUCCAUACUUAAUUGACUUAUGUCUCGUAAUCGAGCGUCACGAUUGAGAAUUGCAUCGGGGAUCAAUUGGAGCGCAGCUGUGGAGGACCCGAAUUCCGGGUCUUACAGAGCGAACGAAUCGUGACGUAGGAAUGAAGAAAGACCUAGAAAUGACAAUGGUGCUCAUAGUCACGCCAUGUUACGUUAGCGGAUGUGUGGCAAGACGCCGAUUGGAAGUGCGGAAUGUAAAUUUCGAUCGCUAAUCAUUACACCCGUGUUCUAUGCAAAUGAUACUCGAUGCUUAUUUACAAGUACAAUAACUAACACUGUCUCCUAAAAGUGAAUAUAUAACGUUAAGGGCUCAACGAUCGAAAGAUUUACCUUUCUGAACUUUCGCAAUCUAUUGUUAACUCUUUAAUGAUCUUAAAAUAAAUUUAUUCUUUAACUUUUCGUUGUACUUUAAGAAGAUUCGAGGUUCAGUUAACUCAGCUGAUCUUGGCAAUCUGGAAGUUGUUGAAGUAAGUAGCUAAAAUCUCCUGUUCAUAUUUUCAUCGGAUAAGCCAUCUUCGGAAACCUCAUCUCGAACACGGGAUACAGUGCUGAAUUUUAAUGUAAGCAAAAUAUCCAAUGCGUGCCUGAUCCGCCGAAUGAUAAUACUUCAACCAAAGGUCGAAAAAUCGAGGUCAUCGCUAGAGGUGUGGUAGGAAGUGCUAUCACGUGAAAUGACUUGGAUUCUGCAAUUUCGUCGAUGAUAUUUUGCAAAAUCUCUUACGUUAGAUAUACGGAGCGUUUCGUAAGAUCCAUUUUCAGUCCAUCAAUAUCGGCGCACCUAAUGCACCGAGAGGGGACAACCUUUGCGACGUUAGUGUCGACUCCGGAAUAUGAGAAGCCUUGUGGCAAAACGUGACGUGACGAGACAAGACGUGAACACGCGUGCAUACGUACGCGCGCAUAAAUACAUAUGCGUGUGCAUGUUGCAUAGUGGUUGGCUUAAUGGCUGACGAUUACGUAAAGUCAGGUUUUUACCCGGUGUCGUUCUCUGGGAAAAUAUGCGUUCAUCCUCUCUCCCCGUCCGCCUCUUUCCGUAAGAUCCGCGAGUGAUCUCACAGGAAGUGACGCCCUUUACGAUCAUCGAUAUAAAUAUGCGCGCACGCGACACAGAACGCCGAUGGCAAUCAUUUUAUUGUCCGUCUCCCCCCUUCCUCCUUCUUACAAGUCGUAUUCCCUCUUCCUUUACGCCGUCGUAAUUUCUUUCGCGACUUGAAUAGUUUUUCAAUGAUACAGCUUCGUCGUAAAUACGACAUAAAGUAGAGGACGAUAGUUAUCGUAAAGAGCGGCGUCGAAAGGAGCCGUAGCUUAUCUCUAGUUCCGUUUUAUCGUUAACCUUCGACCUGGUCAUGCGAGCGCGCCGGUUCAGACCUUCCAUGUUACUGAUUGUUAAUAGUGUGUCUUAAUUUCAAACCCGUUCGAUCUCCAUUUGUUUUCUACACGUAAUAAAAUCAUUAGAAGUGGUAAUAGAGAUAAUUUCUCGCCCAUCGGUGAAGAUAAACCUCUUGCGACGGAAGUUAUUUUAAUUCGAAAACGGAUAUACAUCUAAGAAAUAUAUUUAUCUCGAUCCAAUUCCGUCGUGGAUAAUUUGUGAUAAUGAGUGCACGUUAAAUUACACUUAAUACGAACUUUAUAAAGUUCGUGCUCGACGCUUUGCUUAAUUCAAUACAUUACGCUGACAGGAAUAAUUAAAUGGGAAUGUAAUUAUCUCCCUUUAGUUAUUUCACAAAAGACCAUUUACCUCUUUUUCGUGAGCACGAAUAAAUGAAACCUAAUGUGACUGUCAUCGUAGUCUCGAUUCGGGGUUUUGGAUUCACGCCAGCUAUCGAAAACCCCCUACUUUCGAAGCGGUAAAUCGCUCGCGUCGCGUGUGACCGCAGGAAAAAGGACGAACACGGAAUGACUCCAACUACUUACGUCUUCUCAAUGUACGAUCCCACGCGUUAUCGAGUAUUACUCAAGUUUUGAUUGAAAUUAGAAGCAAUUGAAUCGUUCUAGUCGGAAUCCUUCCAUAAAAACGUAAGUAUAAAAACUUUCUGUAAUUUUUUAUCAGAUUUAUAAUUAUAUAAUCGCAAAAGAAAUUUCAUUUUCUAAAACAAAAAAUUAUAUCAUAUUAAAAAAAUUAAAGUUCAUUUAAUAAGUAUAAUAUUUAAGCAAAAUUUUAAGAUCUUAUUUUGCAAAUGUAAUAAAUAUAAACUUCAAUUUUGAUAAGAUGAAGCAAGUCACAAAAAAUUUUCAAAUCUUUCUGUGAAGAUCUGGAUUUUGAUCGCUCGCGGUAUCAAAACUCUUAUAGCGUACAAGGAACGCUCCGUUGAUGGAUGCAACGAUAGCAGAAUUGAAUCACGUGCUGUUUACAAGAUACAUUCGCGCAUUUCGUUCGCGUGUGGCCAGAACAUCCGUGUUAACGACACAUGCUCUUUCAGGGAACUCACUGACCGCCCAGAAACCGGGUCGUUGGCACUACCAGCGGAGGUUUUCACGUUCGAUAAUGAAGACUUACAAUUGACUUUGUGGUCGAACUUUUACGGCUGUAAAUAUUAUUCUUAGUAAGAUGAAAUUCUACCAAUAUUAUCUUCAUUAAAUCUUACAUUAUUUUUAGAAUUAUUAAGUUAUUGCAGUUAAUACAUUUAUCAGCAUUGUUGAAUUAAUUAUUAAAUAAAAGUAACAUGAUAGAAAUACAUGCAUAUAAACACAAUAUUAAUAUUUUGUGAUGAAAACCAAUUCUUAGUCUAUUCCUACAAUUUAAAACAGAAACAAACUUGAAUUUUCUAUUAUUUUAUUGCGUGAUAUGAUCGAGCGUAAUAAAAUGCCAUCGAUAUCGCGUUAUUUCAUUGGGAAUCGGGAACAUGAAAGGUUUCCGUAUCCAUUGAGAGGACGUUUGUUUGUGAGCGAGAAACUUGUCGUCGAGUCACUAAUUGAUGCCCCAACACGAAAGGGAACUCCGUGCAAGAACGUCGUCCGCGAUUUGCCUCCAUUUGUUCGGCGAGGCGUGUAAAGGGCCUAAUGUCACAGCCAAUUACUGUGCAUAACAGACGAAUCAAAGUGCAUCGUCGAGAAACCAGUUCGGCACACUUGACGUGUCCCUGUCUUCGUCGCCGGCGCUACUUGUUCUUUUACGAUUACAUCUCAAUCGAUCAAUGCAAUAAUAAGCUAUAUUCACGGAAGAAAAUGCGAGUUUUCGUUACAUGGUAUAAUAUAAUUAAUGACGUAAUGACAUACUGUAAUAUGUUGUGUGGUAAUGACAUGUUAAAUCUUGCGUCUCUGAAAAUACGAGGAAGUGAUUCAUUUGGAAAAAUUGAAAGCUGCGAUGGAUUAUCGAGUCCAAAAAGCAUAUUAAUGUUAAAAAGACAUUCAUGUAAAACACAUUGAAAUAAAAUUGGGAUUAUAUAGAAACGGAUUAAUUGUUAAUUAAGAACAAAAGUGGAACUGUUAACAGCUGGGAUUGUUAUACAUAUUAUAUUACAGGUCACACGUAUGCUUUCUAUAACGGGUCCGAAAUAGAAUUGUUAAUAGCUACGUAUUAUGUUACAAACUACACGUUUUCCCAUGGCGGAUCAAAUAGGUCAAAGAGCAUCCCGAAGAAUUCCGGGCAGCACACUUUAACGACUUCGCAUACCCCGCCCGCCGCGAAUCCGUCCUGGGUCCUGUGAACUUUCCCCGACACUUUCCAAGCCUUCGCCUAUGUUAUUUCACGUGUUAGGCGGAAACUUAAAUCAUUUGACGCACCUUGCAAGCCUGACCACUUCCGUUAAGCUGUUCUAGAUCAACGAUGAUUCGUUAAGCUGCGAUUGGAAAGCAUUUGUUCAUAUCGUAAUGUUAAGGAUGACAAAUCAAAAAGCAUAAAAAAAAAAA